CCAUGAUAAAUGUCUGAUUCAACUCAAUGAGCCCACUCUGCAUUUGAUCAAACUCUGCAGUCAGUGGUGCCGUAGCAGAAACUGUGGUCGCACAGUUCACACGUCACUUCAGUUCUCUAGUAUCUACCACACAGAACUCCCCUCUUCAUGAACAGGUUUAUAUUUCAGUAAUGGAUAGCCUACGUAAUAACAAAAUCCAUGUGUUAAACAAAAAUUGUGUUAAUUAAAGGAGAUAAAUAAGAUUGCUGUAUUCAGAAAACUUCAGUGCCCUUUAGCCCUACCAUUAUUUAUUGUUCCCCAAACAUAGCAUUUAAUUAGCUAAAGAGAGAUUAAUCCUGCUCAGUCAUUCAUGACAGAUUGACAAGGUAACCACAGAAGGGUUUCCUGUGUCACCAGGUGAUAUGGAGCCUCUGUCAGUGACAUCCUGGGAGAGAGACCCAUUUCCCUCCUGUCUGAAUGGCCUACACCUCAUCUGUCUUUCCCUCUCCAGCUCCUGCCAAUAGCAGCCAGCUCAAUCAUACAGGGUUGCUGUUAAUAAUUCACCUGACAGUUCCUGUUCAGGAAGUGUGUUGCUAAAGAAGUCUCAUGUGAGCAAACAAUCACUCGGAGACAGUGAGUGCCUGGGAUGUAUGAACAAGGUUACUGACAGAGUAUAUCUGGUUGAAGCACCCUAUGAAUGGUGGACACUGGCGGUAAUUGGUGAAAUAGUCAACCUAACACAGGUGUAAGAGGAUAUCGAAUUGUCUCCAAGUGUGUUAGACCAAGUGUGUUAGACCAAGUGUGAUUUACACCUUUAUUAACUGAGAAUUUGUAUAAAGGUUAGAAAACUUUAAGACCUGAGAUGCUCUUCUCCUUUAGGUCACAGACAAACAGCUGUCCCAUAAUGUGGAGGAAGAACAUAAAUAUGUGAUUCUUACAUUCUAAGUCUGAAAGAGAAGGCCUCCCUGAACUACCAUUCCAUAUCUCCACUCGUCUUCCAAUGAGAGCAGGUAAUGUAAGAGUAUGUCUAACAGAUCUCUCUGUGUAUUGUCAGAACCUCUAGUGGAACCUCCUCAGCUCACAAAGACCCUUGAUGACUUGAUGCCUGAGGCAAUUACCUCUUCUUCCAAAUGGUAAAUCAGCCACUGAGUGUAAGCUACAUUUUCAAAAAUGUGCUCAAGUUUAAAGUACGUUUUCUCUCAGUUAAGCCAAGUUUACAAUCAUUUUUUCUUCAAGUCGUUGGAAAAUUAUUAUAUAUGGGUGUACCUUACAGUGUCUUCGGAAAGUAUUCAGACUCCUUAACCUCCUCCACAUUUUGUUAGGUUACAGCCUUACUCUAAAAUGGAUUAAAUAGUCAUCCCCCCCAUCAAACUACACACAAAACCCCAUAACAAAGCAAAAACUGUUUGUUUGAAUUUUUUGCAAAUUUAUACAAAAUAACUGAAACAUCACAUUUACAUAAGUAUUCAGACCUUUUAGUCAGUACUUUACUGGCAGCGAUUACAGCCUCGAGUCUUCUUGGGUAUAACGCUACAAACUUGGCACACCUGUAUUUGGGGAGUUUCUCCCAUUCCGCUCUGCAGAUCCUCUCAAGCUCUGUCAGGUUGGAUGGGGAGCGUUGGUGCACAGCUAUAUUCAGGUCUCUCCAGAGAUGUUAGAUCAGGUUCAAGUCCGGGCUCUGGCUGGGCCACUCAUGGACAUUCAGAGACUUGUCCCAAUGCCACUCCUGCGUUGUCUUGGCGGUGUGCUUAGGGUUGUUGUCCUGUUGGAAGGUGAACCUUUGCCCCAGUCUGAGGUUCUGAGCGCUCUGGAGCAGGUUUUCAUCAAGGAUCUCUGUACUUUGAUCCAUUCAUCUUUGCCACGAUCCUGAUAAGUCAUCCUGUCCCUGUAUCCCCACAGCAUGAUGCUGCCACCACCAUGCUUCACCGUAGGGAUGGUUCCAGGUUUCCUCCAGAUGUGACGCUUGGCAUUCAGGACAAAGAGUUCAAUCUUGAUUUCAUCAGACCAGAAAAUCUUGUUUCUCACAGUCAGUCUUUAGUUGCCUUUUGGCAAACUCCCAGCGCACUGUCAACUGCCUUUUACUGAGGAGUGGCUUCCGUCUGGCCACUCUACCAUAAAAGGCCUAAUUGGUGGAGUGCUACAGAGAUGGUCGUCCUACUGGAAGGUUCUCCCAUCUACACAGAGGAACUCUAGACCUCUGUCAGAGUGACAGACCUCUGUCAUUGCUCAGAUUGGCCGGGCGGCCAGCUCUAGGAAGAGUCUUGCUGGUUCCAAACUUCUUCCAUUUAAUAAUGAUGGAGGCCACUGUGUUCUUUAGCACAUUCAAUGCUGCAGAAAUGUUUUGGUACCCUUCUGUGCCUUGACACAAUCCUGUCUCUGAGCUCUAUGGACAAUUCCUUCGACCUCAUGGCUUGGUUUUUGCUCUGACAUGCACUGUCAACUGUGGGACCUUAUAUAGACCGGUGUGUGCCUUUCCAAAUCAUGUCCAAUCAAUUUAAUUUACCACAGGUGGACUUCAAUCAACUUGUAAAAACAUCAAGGAUGAUCAAUUGAAACAGGAUGCACCUGAGCUCAAUUUCGAGUCUCAUAGCAAAGGGUCUAAAUUCUUAUGUAAAUAAGGACCUGAGCCCUAGGACCAUGCCCCAGGACUACCUGACAUGAUGGCUCCUCGCUGUCCCCAGUCCACCUGGCCAUGCUGCUGCUCCAGUUUCAACUGACCUGAGCCCUAGGACCAUGCCCCAGGACUACCUGACAUGAUGACUCCUUGCUGUCCCCAGUCCACCUGGCCAUGCUGCUGCUCCAGUUUCAACUGUUCUGCCUUACUAUUAUUUGACCAUGCUGGUCAUUUAUGAACAUCUUGGCCAUGUUCUGUUAUAAUCUCCACCCGGCACAGCCAGAAGAGGACUGGCCACCCCACAUAUGCUCUCUCUAAUUCUCUUUUUCUUUCUCUCUCUCUCGGAGGACCUGAGCCCAAGGACCGUGCCCCAGGACGACCUGACAUGAUGACUCCUUGCUGUCCCCAGUCCACCUGACUGUGCUGCUGCUCCAGUUUCAACUGUUCUGCCUUGUUAUUAUUCGACCAUGCUGGUCAUUUAUGAACAUUUGAACAUCUUGGCCAUGUUCUGUUAUAAUCUCCACCCGGCACAGCCAGAAGAGGACUGGCCACCCCACAUAGCCUGGUUCCUUUCUAGGUUUCUUCCUAGGUUUUGGCCUUUCUAGGGAGUUUUUCCUAGCCACCGUGCUUCUACACCUGCAUUGCUUGCUGUUUGGGGUUUUAGGCUGGGUUUCUGUACAGCACUUUGAGAUAUCAGCUGAUGUACGAAGGGCUAUAUAAAUAAAAUUUGAUUGAUUGAUUGAGAUAUUGCACUAACAAUUCCACAACUACCUAAUACACAAAUCUAAGUAAAGGACUGGAAUAAAAAUAAACACUACCGUUCAAAAGUUUGGGGUCACUUUGAAAUGUCCUUGUUUUCCAUGAAAACAUACAUGAAAUGAGUUGCAAAAUGAAUAGGAAAUAUAGUCAAGACAUUGACAAAGUUAUAGUGAUUUUUAAUUGAAAUAAUAAUUGUGUCCUUCAACCUUUGCUUUUGUCAAAGAAUCCUCCAUUUGCAGCCUUGCAGACCUUAGGCAUUCUAGUUGUCAAUUUGUUGAGGUAAUCUGAGGGGAUUUCACCACAUGCUUCCUGAAGCACCUCCCACAAGUUGGAUUGGCUUGAUGGGCACUUCUUACGUACCAUGCGGUCAAGCUGCUCCCACAACAGCUCAGUAGGGUUGAGAUCCAGUGACUGUGCUGGCCACUCCGUUAUAGACAGAAUACCAGCUGACUGCUUCUUCCCUAAAUAGUUAUUGCAUAGUUUGGAGCUGUGCCUUGGGUCAUUGUCCUGUUGUAGGAGGAAAUUGGCUCCAAUUAAGCACCGUCCACAGGGUAUGGCAUGGCGUUGCAAAAGGGAGUGAUAGCCUUCCUUCUUCAAGAUACCUUUUACCCUGUACAAAUCUCCCACUUUACCCCAGACCAUCACAUUGCCUCCACCAUGCUUGACAGAUGGCAUCAAGCACUCUUCAGCAUCUUUUAAUUUUUUCUGCUUCUCACAAAUGUUCUUCUUUGUGAUCUGAACACCUCAAACUUAGAUUAAUCUGUCCAUUACACAUUUUUCCAAUCUUCCUCUGUGCAGCAUCUGUGUGCCUUUUCCCAUCUUAAUAUUUUAUUUUUAUUGACCAGUCUGAGAUAUAGCAUUUUCAUUGCAACUCUGCCUAGAAGGCCAGCAUCCCGGAGUCGCCUCUUCACUGUUGACGUUGAGACUGGUGUUUUGCGGGUACUAUUUAAUGAAGCUACCAGUUGAGGACUUGUGAGGCUUCUGUUUUUCAAACUAGACACUCUAAUGUGCUUGUUUUCUUGCUCAGUUGUGCACCGGGGCCUCCCACUCCUCUUUCUAUUCUAGUUAAAGACAGUUUGUGCUGUUCAGUGCAGGGAGUAGCACACAGCGUUGUACAAGAUCUUCAGUUUCUUGGCAAUUUCUCACAUGGAAUAGCCUUCAUUUCUCAGAACAAGAAGAGUGACGAAUUACAGAAGAAAGUUUUGAGCCUGUAAUCGAACCCACAAAUGCUGGUGCUCCAGAUUCUCAACUAGUGUAAGAAGGACAGUUUUACUGCUUCUUUAAUUAGCACAACAGUUUUCAGCUGUGCUAACAUAAUUGAAAAAGGGUUUUCUAAUGAUCAAUUAGCCUUUUAAAAUGAUAAACUUGGAUUAGCUAACACAACGUGCCAUUGGAACACAGGAGUGACGGUUGCUGAUAAUGGGCCUCUGUACGCCUAUGUAGAUAUUCCAUUAAAA